UGUCGCUACUUAUUAUGUCAUAGUAAACUAAUUAAAGUCUGAAAGCUAUUACAUGUUUCUUUUGUCAACCCUCGGGCCUGUUUACAUGGAGAGAUGGCGAAUACAAUGUACCGUGAAUGGUAUGAUCCUUGUGCAAAGUAGGACUGAGAAGAGAUGGUACAAAUGGCUGUAGCUACCAAGACUUGCAUGAUUCCCAAUAUUAUUGCACAUUCGGUAGCAAAGAUGUUGACACCAUAUGUCGUCUGUAGAUGAGUUUUACGGGAUCGAAUAAGAGUUGGUCAUUGUAUUCCCUGAAAGGAAUGAGAGGAGAAAAGAAACUGGAAGACCCGGCUAUCUGCAGGCCAAUGCUGGCUGCAGGUCAAUAUUGAAUGCUCUUAU
rnacentral:lncRNA from 1 species